AAUCAGGGAGUGCCUUGACAAAUUCCUUCUCGUUGCAGGCCUCCAAACCACAUUACUCCAUAUCACCUGCAUUUCUUGGUAUCGAUCCGACCACAACAAGCACACAGCCUUGAUAUUCUGGACGGGAAACUUCAUGCUGAGCAGCCAGCCACACCUUGCGCAAUGUGAUGGCCUGUCUCAGCAACCGAGGCGUAGAACGACAUCGGAAAAACAACCGCAUGGGAUGUUGAUUAAAGAAUGCCAUCAAGUGGACCCUACCCCAGAAUCAGUCCUGGAGGGCGCCUGGGCUGUUUGAAUAUGACAUACUGAGCGGGGCUACUGUUAGAUAGAUACCAGGAGGCAUGGCCCUUCCCGUGUGCAGUGUAUUAUCAUGUUAAAUCGAAUAUUCUCCUCAAUAGUUAAUAGAA
rnacentral:sRNA from 1 species